rnacentral:lncRNA from 1 species
UUCUCAAUGGGUUUCUACUUUAUUAUUUGCUAUGGGAUCUGCACUGACCAUUGAUUCAGCUACACUGACUGACAUAUAGAUAUGGGUGUUUGCUUUUCAGAGUCCCCUGAGCAGUUCAGUGUGUGUUUGAAAUUAUCAUCAUCCGGACAUUAUCUCCUGAGCACUGGCAAGACUAACAGUAUGGAUCAAUCUGUGAGCCCAAAGCAGAAGGAGACGCUAACAGUCCUGCUCCAUCCAGGAGAAGAGGACAGACAUCAGAGAAUUGGAACUGUUUGCAUCUACCAGAAGAGAACCUUGGUCCCAUAUCUACCAGGAGAGAAAGAGACUCCUGCUACAUCCACCAGAAGAAAGGAUUGGAAGAAGACAAUAUAAAAGCACAUUCAACAACAGAAAAAACAAUAUGAUACCAUAGGAGACUAGGGGGCAUACACCAACAAGAGCAGAACAUCACAAUGCAGAUGAAGCAGAAGAGAAUAACCUUAAAAACAUCUUGAUGAAAAUGAUAGAGGGCCUCAAAAAGGCUCUGAGAUAAUCCCUUAAA